rnacentral:rRNA from 1 species
ACUCCUACGGGAGGCAGCAGUAGGGAAUCUUCCACAAUGGACGAAAGUCUGAUGGAGCAACGCCGCGUGAGUGAAGAAGGGUUUCGGCUCGUAAAACUCUGUUGUUAAAGAAGAACAUAUCUGAGAGUAACUGUUCAGGUAUUGACGGUAUUUAACCAGAAAGCCACGGCUAACUACGUGCCAGCAGCCGCGGUAAUACGUAGGUGGCAAGCGUUGUCCGGAUUUAUUGGGCGUAAAGCGAGCGCAGGCGGUUUUUAAGUCUGAUGUGAAAGCCUUCGGCUCAACCGAAGAGGUGCAUCGGAAACUGGGAAACUUGAGUGCAGAAGAGGACAGUGGAACUCCAUGUGUAGCGGUGAAAUGCGUAGAUAUAUGGAAGAACACCAGUGGCGAAGGCGGCUGUCUGGUCUGUAACUGACGCUGAGGCUCGAAAGUAUGGGUAGCAAACAGGAUUAGAUACCCUGGAGGAUAGCG